GGAGCGAACGAGAGCGCGCUUCAGCGGAUCUUAGGACAUCGGAUUGCGCUUGACCAAAUCUACGCCUGCGGAAGAAGAAAACCGGCGCCAGAAAGGUGACAAGCUGCGGCAGGGCCACGCCCACUCCUGCCUCUUCACGGGAUCCGCUUUUGGCAGUCGUCUUCCCUCUUGGCGGACAACCCGUGAAUUUUAUUGUCUUUUUCCUGCGGUUCUUCCUGCUUGGAACAGGCUUUGAGAAAACACGGUACAGCAUGUCGAUCUGACAUUUUUUGGCCCGCGGCCUGAGCCUCAUGACUGCAGAGGUUGCAAAAGCACACACGCUCUGUACUCGAGUCGAAGUACAGACACUUGCGUCAAAAUGUAGCCGCCCCGGCCCUGGGAUGCUAAUUGCUCUUUCUCAGUUGCAGCUUGUUUUGCUGGGGAGUCUCCCCGGAAGAAGAUUCCAGAAUGAGAGCGUCUGUCUCGAGUUGACCAUCAAUGGAAGGGCCUCAACUCACUUCAACAGAGUUCCUCGGCACUAAGACGUCACAGGAUGGUGGCCAAGUACUACUUUUGUCUUAAUGAAGCCCCUCAACUCACUAGGACACAGCUCCUUGGCAUCAAUAGUCAACAAAAUGUUGGCAAAGCAGAACUUUUGUCUAAUUGAAGCGUCUUAAACAUAAUUCCAUGGCAUCAAGACGCAAAAGGAUGGUGGCAUGUACUACAUUUGUGGAAAAUUUAAGUUCAGUGGGGGUUCAUUGUAUCAAGUUUAUGAGACAAUUAUUUUCUCACGUUGGACCUGAUCGUUUAGAAACUUCCUUUUAUAUUAUUUACUUGGGCUGCCUUGUAUUACAUAUGUUGUGGCGAUCUGAAACAUUUCAGCGUGAUAAAUAUGCAAAUAAAGAAAAAACAAAUAUGAGGAAGUGGGCAAAUACCUUUUUUGCACGAUACACUAUGCACAUUUUAAUUAGCCUCGAGGUUACGAAACCUCGUUGGUAUUUUCUUUAACAAGCAACAAGUAAACAGUUUAUUAAACACACACACACACACACACACACACACACACACACGCACACACAAAACCAGCUAGCGUUUGCCUCCACGCCCACGCAUUUAUGUCACGCACAAGCAUGUUUAUGCAAUGUUAAAAAAAA